rnacentral:rRNA from 1 species
GGUGAACGCUGGCGGCGUGCCUAACACAUGCAAGUCGAGCGGUACAGUUUGAAGCUUCGGUGGAGAGCUGUAUAGCGGCGGACGGGUGAGUAAAGCGUAGGAACGUGCCCCUCGGAGUUGGAUAGCCAUGGGAAACUGUGGGUAAACCGACAUAGACUCGGGAGAGUAAAGGCCGAAAGGCGCCGAGGGAGCGGUCUGCGUCCCAUCAGGUAGUUGGUAGGGUAAUAGCCUACCAAGCCGAUGACGGGUAGCCGGCCUGAGAGGGUGACCGGCCCGAGGGGCACUGAGAUACGGGUCCCACUCCUACGGGAGGCAGCAGGCUAGAAUUUGGGCAAUGGGGGAAACCCUGACCCAGUGACGCCGCGUGCAGGAAGGAGCCCUUCGGGGUGUAAACUGCUGUCGUGUAGGGAGAAGGGUACUAAGGUGAACAAUCUUAGUACUUGACGGUACUACAGGAGGAAGCCCAGGCUAACUCGUAG